CAGAUACCAAAGCUGGUUUACCGGGAAGCUCUCAGAUCGAGCAUGCUUCACUCAACUAUGCCCCAAGGUGUAAGAAAAGAAUUCUUUGAGAGGUACUUUAACAUAUAUUCUCCGGAGAAUAUUCACCGCUUCAUACUGCAAGAAGUACACAUGUCAGAUGUUGGCUAUAUACGCAGCGGAACAUUUGGUUUUACUCGGUUAAUUGAUAUGUCACCUAUGGAGGUUUCAUUUUCGGCAACUGGUUCUUUCUUGGAAUAAUUGUUAUUCUCAAUUGUGAGAAGCAACCGGCAAUUUUCAGAUGAAAUUUUGGACUUGCUGAUGGAGUCUGAGGAUGAUGAUCUCUAUUUUAGUCACCUUGGACGGGACAAAGUAAGAGCAGUGACACUUAUUGCUUCCAUCUAGGACAGGAACAGAUUUAUUAAGAACAAGACUUGCCACAGGUCCUGGUGAUGCACCAUUUGAAGCUUUGGUCAUGGAACAUCAGGAUAGGCUUUUAUCUAAUGUUAAUCUCUUACAUUCCAUAUAUUCCUUCAUUCCUAGAACGAGAGCACCCCCUAUAAAUGCUCAUUGCUCGGAUAGAAAUUUUGCUUACAAAAUGCUCGAGGAACUACACCAUCCACGGAUUAAGAGGUUGCUGGUUGGGUUUGCACGCACAUCGGAAUAUAAUGGUCCUAUGAAGCCAGGUGUCACACACCAUUUAAUACAAGAGAAGACUCUAAAUUACCUGUCUCACAACCUGCUCUUCAGCUUACAUACAAAAUAUCUGGGUCAUGUCCACCUGUGCAACCAUUUGACCCUGCAAAGAUGCUAACAGACUCAGGGAAGCUUCAAACACUUGACAUACUAUUAAAGUGCUUGCGGGCAGGGAAUCACCGUGUUCUUCUCUUUGCACAAAUGACAAAAAUGUUGGAUAUUAUAGAGGUAUUUGAAUCUUUCUGCUGCACCUUGACCGUUUAGAUUUGUCUUUUUGUAAUGCUAUGAUGCUAGUAGCAGUGGCAGUUUCUCUGCCUAUGCAACUGUAUGUUUGUAUUUGGUUGUAGCU